UUGCUUCAGCAGCACAUACGCUAAAAUUGGAAUGAUACAGAGAAGAUGAGCAUGGCCCCUGCGCGAGGAUGACAUGCAAAUUAGGGAGGUGUUCUGUGGGGUU